GAUGAAGAACGUAGCGAAAUGCGAUAAGUAAUGUGAAUUGCAGAAUUCAGUGAAUCAUCGAGUCUUUGAACGCACAUUGCGCCCCCUGGUAUUCCGGGGGGCAUGCCUGUCCGAGCGUCAUUGCCGCCCUCAAGCACGGCUUGUGUGUUGGGCCCCCGCCCCCCGGCUUCGGGGGGCGGGCCCGAAAGGCAGCGGCGGCACCGCGUCCGGUCCUCGAGCGUAUGGGGCUUCGUCACCCGCUCUGUAGGCCCGGCCGGCGCCCGCCGGCGACCCCAAUCAAUCUUUCCAGGUUGACCUCGGAUCAGGUAGGAAGACCCGCUGAACUUAAGCAUAUCAAUAAGCGGAGGA
rnacentral:misc_RNA from 1 species